AGCAGCCGCGGUAAUUCCAGCUCCAAUAGCGUAUAUUAAAGUUGUUGCAGUUAAAAAGCUCGUAGUUGAACCUUAGGCCCGUGCGGGCGGUCCGUCCUCUGGGCGAGCACUGCCUCGUCGCGGGUCUCACCUUCUGGCGAGCGUGGAUGCCAUUCAUUUGGUGUCUGCGGGAACCAGGACCUUUACCUUGAAAAAAUUAGAGUGCUCAAAGCGGGCUCUUACGCUUGAAUACAUUAGCAUGGAAUAAUGAAAUAGGACGACGGUUCUAUUUUGUUGGUUUCCGGGACGGUCGUAAUGAUUAAUAGGGAUAGUUGGGGGCAUUCGUAUCCAAUUGUCAGAGGUGAAAUUCUUGGAUUUAUCGAAGACGGACUACUGCGAAAGCAUUUGCCAAGGAUGUUUUCAUUAAUCAAGAACGAAAGUUGGGGGAUCGAAGACGAUCAGAUACCGUCGUAGUCUCAACCAUAAACUAUGCCGACUGGGAAUCGGGCGAUGUUAUUUUUCGUGACUCGCUCGGCGCCCC
rnacentral:rRNA from 1 species